rnacentral:rRNA from 1 species
GUAGGUGGCAAGCGUUGUCCGGGAAUUAUUGGGGCGUAAAGCGCGCGCAGGCGGUUCUUUAAGUCUGAUGUGAAAGCCCACGGGCUCAACCGUGGAGGGUCAUUGGAAACUGGAGAACUUGAGUACAGAAGAGGAAAGCGGAAUUCCACGUGUAGCGGUGAAAUGCGUAGAGAUGUGGAGGAACACCAGUGGCGAAGGCGGCUUUCUGGUCUGUAACUGACGCUGAGGCGCGAAAGCGUGGGGAGCAAACAGGAUUAGAUACCCUGGUAGUCCACGCCGUAAACGAUGAGUGCUAAGUGUUAGGGGGUUUCCGCCCAUUAGUGCUGCAGCUAACGCAUUAAGCACUCCGCCUGGGGAGUACGGCCGCAAAGGCUG